UUAUUAUAUAAACCGCUAUCAAGCAUUGCACCCAGCCCCAUCCUUGGCGGUAACAAAAUUUUUCAACAUAAAUUUGUUCCCUGAGCUUGCAAAGAUCCAGGUCAACUCCAGUCAACGCCUGCAGGGCUGAUCAAGUUCGGUCAACGCCGAGCUAGCGUGGUCAACGCCCAUGUCAAUGGUCAACGCCCAACUCAACUCAAAAAAAAAAAAAAAAAAAAAAAAGAGUGGCGGCAAAUUUGCUCUGGACACCCAGAAAGCUUCUCUGGGCACCCAUCCAGUUCUUAAAUUUCCCGCCAGACAAUUGCUCCGCCAACUCUCCUUCUUCGCUGCAUCCUCUGCUCCGCCAGUCAAGCACCCAGCCCCUGCAGCUCCGCUAGCUUACCCCUGCUAGUCUCCCUCUGCAGCUCUGCAUAUUUGCAUAUCACCGCCGGACAUGGCUUCUUCCGCCCAAUUCACCACCGGCAAGGCUCCACCGCCACACUUCUUCAGCGGCCCUUCUCCCUGGCAGCUACUUCCUGACCAAACCACCUCCGCCAGCUCCAGACUCCGCCGCGCUCGGAUCCUCCGCCGAGAUAGGAUCCUUCGCCAGCUCCGAGUUCCGCCGAACUCCGUCAGCGACAGAGCCCAUUCCCCGCUGCACUCAGGCCUGCUGCGAAUACCCGCUGAGCUCCGGGUUCCGCCCACCUCGACGUUCCGCCCACCUGCGCUACCUCCGCUGGCAUCACCUCAAGUCCGGCGACGCUCCGCGGCGACUCCGGUCAUGGUAGCAUCACCUUCGCCCUUCUACAUCCAGCAGCGCCGCCGAACCUUGAGCCUGCAGCUCCACCUCCACCAAUCUUCAUAAGCGGAACACCACCGCUAGCUAUGCCCAGCGGCGGCACACCGCCGCCCACUGGACCAGAUUCCCCCGCUGAGCUUGCACCCACGCAGACUGCCAGCACCGCUCCGCUAGCCAGUUCCGCGUAGCCCCGCUCCGCUGAACUUGGAGCUCCGCUCCGCCGAGCUUCGUCAGCGGCAACCUUCGAGUCUCCGCCGACCUCCACCGCUGGGAUCACCGGCGGCACAUCACCGCCCAACUCAUAAACAAACGCUCCACCGACCACCGCUGCGCUUCACAGCCGGAAGGGUCCCCGCUGCACUCUUGGGCUCCAUCUCCGCCGAACUGGUGCCCCGCCGGCAUUCUCCACUACUCCUCCAUGCUCCAAGGGCACCGCUGACCACCUCCUCCGCUUGCAUCUGCCUCCGCUAGAGCUUACCGCCAGCAUAACAGCAGCUCCCGCCACGGUCCGCCAAGAUCUCCCAGCGGCAAAACCACCGCCCAACUUCCCCGCCCAACACCACCUCUAGCUCCAUCCUCCGCCGAGCUCCAAGUGCUAUCUUCGAUCAUAAUGAGGCACCGCUGGGCGCCGUGACGCAUAACCCACUCCGGCCUCUGUUACGACAUUGGCGGAACUCCUCCGCUGACCAAGUAAGCAGCCUUCGCUGAGCUUCUCCGGCGAACUUCACAGCCGGACUGGUCACCACCAAACUUCACCACUAGCCACCACCGCUGGCCAUCUCUGCUAGCCGGCCUCCGCUCCGCCGAACUCAAAACCUCCGCUGAGCCCCAAUAGCCAAUCACCG
rnacentral:lncRNA from 1 species